UCCCAUAACGAGCGCAACCCCUACUCAUUAGUUGCCAUCAGGUCAAGCUGGGGACUCUAAUGAAACUGCCUACGCAAGUAGUGAGGAAGGUGGGGAUGACGUCAAAUCAGCACGGCCCUUACGUCCAGGGCUACACACGUGCUACAAUGGUCGGUACAAAGGGUUGCCAAGCCGCGAGGUGGAGCUAAUCCCAUAAAACCGAUCGUAGUCCGGAUCGCAGUCUGCAACUCGACUGCGUGAAGUCGGAAUCGCUAGUAAUCGUGAAAUCAGAAUGUCACGGUGAAUACGUUCCCGGGCCUU
rnacentral:rRNA from 1 species